AGUCAAAGUUGAUGACAUCAUGAAUGAUGUCAUAAACAAAUUAAUUUAGUGAAUUAUUAAAUUGGGAAUUGUGGUCUUCCAUAAGAUAAAGAAAAGAAAAGAAAAAAAAAAUUAAAACACAAAUCUUCUUCUUCAAAAAAAACGUCACUCUCUCUCUCCCACACCAAAACCACCAUGAAAGCUCAUUUUUGAGCUUGAAGAACCAAAAUCCAACCAUGGCCAAUUGUCCUACCAUAACUAGAUGUUGUUUGGACAACUAGGAAAGAGGAUUCAAAGAAAAGAAAGAAGAAAAAUUUGAAGAAAAGGGAGAAGAAAUUCUGCACACAAGUUGAAAAGAAUAUCGGGAAGGAACCCGAGGAAACGAGUCGAGGCUAAGGGACGACUCGCUUGAGAUAAAAGCAAGGA